rnacentral:rRNA from 1 species
AUUGAACGCUGUCGGCAGGCCUAACACAUGCACGUCGAACGAGUGGCGGACGGGUGAGUAAUGUCUGGGAAACUGCCUGAUGGAGGGGGAUAACUACUGGAAACGGUAGCUAAUACCGCAUACCAUCGGAUGUUCCCAGAUGGGAGUAGCUAGUAGGUGGGGUAAAGGCUCACCUAGGCGACGAUCCCUAGCGGGUCUGAGAGGAUGACCAGAAAAACUGGAACGGAGAAACGGUCCAGACUCCGACGGGAGGCAGCAGUGGGGAAUAUUGCACAAUGGGCGAAAGCCUGAGGCAGCCAUGCCGCGUGUAUGAAGAAGGCCUUCGGGUUGUAAAGUACUGGCAGCGGGGAGGCGUUACCCGCAGAAGAAGCAACGGCUAACUCCGGGCCAGCAGCCGCGGUAAGUC